UGGGGUGUGGCUCAGUGGGAGAGCACUUGCCUAGCAUGAGUAAGCUCCUGGUUUCGAUUCCCAGCUCCACAA
rnacentral:tRNA from 1 species